GAUGCAGAAGACUAUAUUAGUGAUGGAUUUGACAUUUAAAAGGGAAUCUGGUGAGAAUCCAGGGCAGCCUAUUCUACUGUAAGAUGGACGAAGCUUCAACGGAGUCACUGGUAUUUAUAUCUGCAACAGAACAGCAGUAAUAUAAGCCGGGAAGAGGAAAGCAGAGGAUGAAAUCAAGCCAGGAAACCUGCUAUAUAGGAAUUGGGAUU
rnacentral:ncRNA from 2 species